GACGAACGCUGGCGGCGUGCCUAACACAUGCAAGUCGUGCGGGGCCUGUGGGUUCGCUCGCAGGUUCAGCGGCAGACGGGUGAGUAACACGUAGGUAACGUGCCCUCCUGCGGGGGAUACCUGUUCGAAAGGACAGUUAAUACCGCAUGCGCCGCCCGGGAGGCAUCUCCGGGGCGGGAAACCCGAAAGGGGCGGGAGGAGCGGCCUGCGGCCCAUCAGCUAGUUGGUGGGGUAACGGCCUACCAAGGCUACGACGGGUAGCCGGUCUGAGAGGACG
rnacentral:rRNA from 1 species